UACGUAGGGUGCGAGCGUUAAUCGGAUUUACUGGGCGUAAAGCGUGCGCAGGCGGCCCGUUAAGACAGGUGUGAAAUCCCUGGGCUCAACCUAGGAAUUGCGCUUGUGACUGGCGGGCUCGAGUACGGUAGGGGGGGGUGGAAUUCCUGGUGUAGCAGUGAAAUGCGUAGAGAUCAGGAGGAACACCGAUGGCGAAGGCAGCCCCCUGGGCCUGUACUGACGCUCAUGCACGAAAGCGUGGGGAGCAAACAGG
rnacentral:rRNA from 1 species